GUUAUAGGCACCAUCACACUGACUGUAGCAAAAUAAUACAGAAUGCUAUCCAGGGGAAGAGCAGAAAGGGGCAGCCGUUGACUGACUACGUCACAAGGGAGGGGGCGUUCCGGUGUUUGCCGAGUGCAGUCGGAAGACAUUCUGAUAGCUAAAUUCGUUAGCACACCGGAUGAGGAAGUGUUUAGAUUCAGCUGUGGUGACUGUCAUAGGAGUGCGGUAAGAGAGUCUGCUCGCCUAUCAAUCAGAUUAUACAGAACAUCGGUUAUGUUUUGUAAUUGUACAUAACGUUUAAUAGCACUCAGAGGCAUAUAAUAUGUCUCUCUCUCCCCACUCUCGUAUUUGAAACUACAGGCCGGAUUUUCCAAAAAGCAGAGUAUAACUUUAAAACGGUGCGGCUUUAUUAGAAAUGUGUUCAUUCAGAAUGUUUUAGAACGGGGUGUGACUUCUCACGUGGGGUUCUCCUGGUAUUGAUCCUCGUCUUCUCUACUUUCUUUUUCUUAUGAAGAUCCAGCUCUCUAUCUGAGCUAAACCUUGGAGUGCAGAAGCACCUCUUACUUAGUCUUCUGAGCUAAGCAAAGCAAUGAUAGGUUAGCUAUUGGCAGCUGAUCUCAUUGCAGGGCUUAGCUGUGGAGAACUGGAGCCUCUGGCUCUAUAUAGGAAACAGAGCAGUACUGGGUAGACCCUAGAUAAGAUAUCAAUCCAUUCUAAAAUGCUUAAAGGGACACUCCAGGCAGCCCUUUUUACUCACCUGGUUCCAGUGCCGGAAGCCUCGUGAAGCUGCGCCCUCUAUUUCGUCAAAAUGACGAAAUAGGCGGGCGUGAGUAGGGAGCAAUCAGAAGCUUCCAUUUGGAAGCGUCAUUGCUCCCUUGGGCGCAUACUUAUGCCGCCCUAUGAAGUCCUGAGCGCACUACCGCGCAUGCUCAGCUUGCGAUCUUUGACCACCCUCUCUCCUCUGCUGACAGAGGACAGAGCGCACACAGUGCCUUCUCUCUCCUGCACACGUCAGACGUAUUUUAAUACGUCUGACGUGUACAUGGCCUUUUUAGGGCCAUACAUGAUAGAAAGUCCCUCUGGUGGCCGUCUGAGUGAGCACAAAAAACACUUACAAACUGGUACCAAGGAUGAGUGUUUACCACCAGUCCUCAUAGGUUUGCCAGAGGCCAAUUUCUGUAAAGCACAUAGCAAAUAUGUAAUUUGGGCACUUGUCACUUGGGCUCCACUUUACUUGUUAAAAAAACCAACAACCUGGAAAAAAAAAAAAAAAUGUACACUACGUUCUAUUAACCCCUUAAGGACAGAGCUUCAAAAGCUUGUCUUUCACUUAAUGACAACAGCAUUUAUUUUUUGCUGUUUGCAUUCAACUGCAAUUUGCAUUUUACUAAUUUGUUGCACCAACACACAAAAAUGUUGUGUUGUUUUUUUUACAGUUUUUGCCAUAAUAAUGUGUGCAUAAUUAGUGCAGGUUAAGAAAAGUAAUUAAAAAUAAAUUAAUUUAGUUGUUCUGAUUUACAGAAUAUAUGUAAUGUGUAUGAGAUUUUAAGGUUUUUUUUUUUGGUAGUUACAGGUCACAAAGCACAUGGAGUAAAAUAAACUUUUAAUGUGGAGCGAUUUUAGAAUUUGGUAUGUUUGUCUUGUAAGCUUAAUAGCCAUAAAAGAAAACAAAAUUGCCACACAAAAGUAUAUAUUUAUAUAAAGUAGACAUCACAGGCUAUUUAUCUAAGGUUGUUUUGACACUUUCUACGUAGCCAUUUCACCGCCAACAUCUGCUAAAUAUUGGAGUAAAAUUUAUAACAUCACUCCCAUACUCUUGAAUCCUAAUUUUGAAAAGUGAUUUUAAAAAUUGUCUCUGAUUGGCCAAUUACACUUUUGGCGCAAUUUUCAAAUUAACAUAGCCCUAUUUAAACAACCCCUGCCAGGUUACUACUUUUAUCCCAUUCUGAAGAAACCACUUAUGGUGAAACGCGUUUAUGGUUAUUAAUUCUGUAUUUUACUGUGUAUUUUAGAUCAAUAAAAGUUUUUUGGCUACUUUAUUGUACCAAUCCUCUUUUUAUUGCACUCUUUAUGCACUUUAAACAACUUUUUUUUACCUAUUCCUGGCAUUUUAACCUUUCCUGGUUACUUUUACUUCCACUGGCAAUUUUAAAGUUCCAGUACUCCAAGAAAUCCUAGGUGGGGAUUAGGGAUCGACCGAUAUUGAUUUUUUAGAGCCGAUACCGAUACCGAUAAUCUGCAAACUUUCAGGCCGAUAGCCGAUAUCUUGCCGAUAUUCUGUACAUUUACUAUUUUGAAUAAAUAAACUAAUUCGAAAGGUAAAUGCACAAAAUAUACAUGCCACAUGUAGUGGAUGAAGUGUGUUUAGACAGGGGAACUGUGUGUGUUUGUGUAGUGUGUGUGUGUGUAGUGGAUGCAGAGUGUGUGUUUGUGUAGUGUGUGUAUAAUGAAUGUAGUGUGUAUAUAAUGUAGUGUGUGUGUAUAAUGCAGUGUGUUUUUGUGUGUAUGUAAUGCAGUGUGUGUGUGUGUUUGUGUAGUGUGUAUGUAUGUAAUGUAGUGUGUGUAUGUAAUGCAGUGUGUUUGUGUAGUGUGUAUGUAAUGCAGUGUGUUUGUGUAGUGUGUAUGUAAUGCAGUAUGUGUGCAGUGUGUCUGUCUGUGUAGUGUGUAUGUAAUGCAGUGUGUGUCUGUGUAGUGUGUAUGUAAUGCAGUGUGUGUUUGUGGUGUGUGUGUAGUGUGUCUGUCUGUGUAGUGUGUGUAUGUAAUGCAGUGUGUGUCUGUGUAGUGUGUAUAUAAUGCAGUGUGUGUGUAUGUAAUGCAGUGUGUGUGCAGUGUGUGUUUGUGUAGUGAUUUUUGUAAUUUUUUAUUUUAAUAUUUUUUUAAUAUUUAAAUGUUUUUUUUUGUUUAGUCCCCCCCCUAGUGUGUGUUUGUGUAGUGUGUAUGUAAUUCAGAGUGUGUGCAGUGUGUGUUUGUGUAGUGUGUGUGUUUGUGUAGUGAUGUAAUUUGUGUAAUUUUUUAUUUUAAUAUUUUUUUCAAUAUUUAAAUGUUUUGUUUUUUUGUUUAGUCCCCCCCAGUGUGUGUUUGUGUAGUGUGUAUGUAAUGCAUAGUGUGUGCAGUGUGUGUUUGUGUAGUGUGUGUGUUUGUGUAGUGAUGUAAUUUGUGUAAUUUUUUAUUUUAAUAUUUUUUUUAAUAUUUAAAAAAAUAUAUAUAUUUUUUGUUUAGUCCCCCCUCCCUGCUUCUUACCAGGGAGGGGGAUAUAGUAUUCCCUGGUGGUCCAGUGGCUUGUUAAGUAUAGUGGUGGCUCAGCAGCAGCAAGCGCUGACUUACCUUGCAAGCAGCUCCUACAGCUCCCUAUGUAAAUCUCGCGGCUCUUAGUGCCGCGCGGAGCGUUGCCAUGGUAACCCGUGGCAACGCUCUGCGGCCGCGGGUCUCGCGAGAUUUACACAGGGAGCUGCUGGAGCUGCAUGCAAGGUAAGUCAGCGCUUGCUGCUGGCCCCCACAGGACCGCCGGGCUUGUAAUGGGCACGGCGGUCCUGUUAUAUAUUAUCGGCAAUAUCGGUAUCUGAAUUGGCCGAUACCGAUAUUGCCGAAAAUACCAAAUAUCGGCCGAUUAUAUCGGCCAGACCGAUAAUCGGUCGAUCCCUAGUGGGGAUCAUACCACCGGCGCCUAUCCAUAGAGCAGUACCUCUGCUCUAUCUUUGUGAGUAUUAUUUUAUUUUCUCUACUACUCUCUUAACCUAUCACAAUUGAGAGCACUAUUGCUGCUUUUUAUUCUUCUAUAUUGGAGCCUUGGAUCACCAGACGGUGCUGACGGACGUAUCGCCGCUACAUAUCCUAUAAGCGGGGAUUAUACCGCUGUACGCUAUCCACACCAGAGCUGGCCAUAGCUCCCUCAAAUGUGAGUUUUUUACCUCUUCUUAUCUGCACAUUGAACCACAUCAAAAUUGAGAGCACUAUUGUUGCUUUCUGUCUUUCUUUUCUGAGUUCUGGACUACCAGACGGUGUUGAUGGAGACCCCCUCCCUACAUAUCCCAUAAGCGGGGAUUAUACCGCUGUACGCAAUCCACACCAGAGCUGGCCAUAGCUCUCUUGAAUGUGAGUUCUUUACUUUUUGUUACCUAUCACACCCUGAACUUUCAUACUAUACCAUUAGUCGCCUCUACCUCUCUUGUAUUUACAUAUACGGAACGGUCUACACCAGACGCAUCCACAGAGGAACUCUAUCAAGUAUCCUAGACCAUCUAUUGGCACCCUAGCAAUACUUUACUGGACUAUCUACCCUUAUUUGGCGCAGCCCUUCCAUAUCUUUUUGUAUCUAUCCACCGAAGGACCCGAGGGGAUUUCCUUCAUUUGGGUUGCUGCCUACCUUGACUAAUUUUGUGAUUACUAGCGCUGAAUUCUUUUUGUGUUUAUCAAUACCCCCGUAUGUACCUUUGCCAGGUAUAUGUGGACAUCGGAGGGGCACAUUUGGGACACAGCCAUUCCAGUUUUUUUCAAACUUUAAAUUUUUACGCUGUGCCCAUGUCCCAUUUUAGAGUAUUUUACCAGGCUAUAUAAUCCAAAUACCCCAUAAAGCCAUACCAUUUCUUAAAGAAGACAUCCCAGGGUAUUUCAAAAGGCAUAUUUUGAACCUUAGCGUGGGAUAAUUUUUCCUCUAGCUUGUACCAAGUGUAGUGGUAAUAAGCAUUUUUUCUGCCUUUUUGACAUACAAAGGUGAGUUUGCACAGUAUAUUUUGCAAACCUUUAAGCUUAAUUUUUAACUUUUUUAAAGUUUAUUUUAAAACUUUUUUAACAUUAACCCCUAGUUAGCCUAACGCCAAAUCCCUCAAUUCCCCGCUAACUUCCACUCACCCCAGCUAGCUAAAUAUAUAAUUUUAAAAUAUUUUAAUUAAUUAAAUAAAUUUAACCCCUGAGGGUUAAAAAAAAUAAAAAAAAAGAAUUAACCCUCAGGGGUUAAAAAAAAAUAAAAAAAAAUCAGAUCAUAGUAAAAUGUAAUCCCUGCCAAUUGAUCA